rfam:Myotis brandtii contig238481, whole genome shotgun sequence.
GGCAGUUCUCAGGUGACACACCUGGAAUCGGGCUCCCUCCUGUCUGGUUCUGGGUGUGUCACCUGAGAUCCGCA